rnacentral:rRNA from 1 species
AGAAUCAACGCUGGCGGCGUGCCUAACACAUGCAAGUCGAACGAGAAAGUGGAGCAAUCCACGAGUAAAGUGGCGCACGGGUGAGUAACACGUGACUAACCUACCCUUGAGUGGGGGAUAACCUAGGGAAACCUGGGCUAAUACCGCAUAAUACCUACGGGUCAAAGGAGUAAUUCGCUUAAGCGAGGGGGUCGCGGCCGAUUAGUUAGUUGGCGGGGUAAUGGCCCACCAAGACGAUGAUCGGUAUCCGGCCUGAGAGGGCGCACGGACACACUGGAACUGAAACACGGUCCAGACUCCUACGGGAGGCAGCAGUGGGGAAUUUUGCGCAAUGGGGGAAACCCUGACGCAGCAACGCCGCGUGGAGGAUGAAGUCCCUUGGGAUGUAAACUCCUUUCGAUCGGGACGAUAAUGACGGUACCGGAAGAAGAAGCCCCGGCUAACUUCGCGCCAGCAGCCGC